UUGUCUUAUAUGAGCAUUAGCAAAGGCAGCAAACAGGAAUUAAGAUCAAAUGUAGUUUUUGUUUUCAUUAGUUUAAUAUCUGAUGCGUCCUUUAUCUGGGGACCAUACAUUACAUUGAGUUUCGGAGCAGGUAGAUGGAAUAUGGGCUUCUCAGGGCUCGUGAUGCAGUGGUAAUGUCCCUACCUCUC